ensembl:lncRNA
GUUGCUCAGCUGUGCUCGUGAACUUCGUUUCCAUGACAACCAAGUCACUCAAACUCAGCUGCAUCUCAUCCAUCGGCAAAAACCUCUCAUUACAUUUUCAAAUUACAUCUUGCCUUCAUCAAACAGCUAUAAAAGGAGGCCUUGGUGCUUUUGUGCCUGGAGGUUUCUGUGAAGUUCGCAGCAUGUGAUGUUUCUGUUUGACCCUGACCUCUCAUUAUAUAAGCACAGAAGGUGUCAUUCAGUCUGAGGUGAAAUGACUGAAGUGCAGGUGUGCCGAGCAGAAGUGAGCGGACGACACUGCAGUGUGUUUCCCGGGACUCAAACUCUCUGGAGGAAAUGCUGCAACUAGAGCAGAAAUACAAGACGAAAUGUGAUCAUUGGUCUGCGUGCUGAUUGGCUGUCGAGACGACGGCCGGUUGCAAAGCCAGUUCUUGCCUGAUUCUCAAUCUACAAACACGCCGCCACAGGGGAGAGCAGAGGGGUACAACAGAAUGCCAAAGUGAGGAAGGCAAAGGAUUUGGAUUGAUGUUUCAUUUCUGGAUAUAUAGUCACAGGGCUAAGCAUGUAGCCGGAGGAAUAACUUCACCUGUGCUGAAAAGUUGUGUUUAUAAAUAUAUUUUCCUGAGUUGAAGGGCCUACAUUGCGUCUCAGACUAACUGAUCUCUUUUCCCG